AAAGGGGCUUCCGGUCUGCGGGAGACUGGAGGCUAGCGGUGGGCGUGGACCGUCGAGGUGACUGGCGGCUGUCGGAUCAGCUGUUGUUUGCUGACCAGGCAGCCGUGGGUAAUGACGGAUGCCCAGACCCUGUGGGCGGAGUAAAGGAAUCAUGCACUGAUACACGCACACUCACCGAGAGGCGCGGUCGUCUGCGUGCCCCUCAUCUCGUAGCCGAGAGGAGCGCGCUCCGGGGCAGGCCUCCGAGUACUUCCCGCAGAGGACCGGGCUUUAUACUGCUCCUUUUCCUCCCCUAACGGAGUCUCGCCCCAUCACCCAGACUGGAGUGCCCUGGCAUGAUCUCGGCUCACUGCAACCUCUGCCUCCCGGGUUCAAGUGAUUCUUCUGCCUUAGCCUCCCCAGUAGCUGGGACUACAGGAUCCUGAGCAGCCAUAUAAGACAUUCAACCAGCCUGAGACCACCAUACAUUGAUCACAGUCUCAAAUGAACCCAACAUUUCACCUGUGCCCGCCAGGCAGCAGACAUGCAGCUGAAGCUGUCUUGGAGCCUCUAGACCAGCCCAUCCACCUGCUGAAUACCAGUGAGUGACCUAUGUCAAAGCUACCAGAAGUGGAAUUGCCAGCUGAGUCUUGCCUAAAUUUCUGAGCCACACAAUCGUGAGAUACUAUAAAGUGGUAAGUUUUAUAGCAGUGUGUUACCCAGCAGUAUGGACCUGGAACAGACUACAGCACUAGUCCUGGUUUCCCUCUCCCAGUCAAUACAAAGACAGGGAUGACCUGUGCUCUGAGAAUAGCUCCUAAGCAUGUGUUUUGUGUCAUGGUGAUUGUCAAGCCCGCAGACUCUAGAGUCAUACAGACCCAGGGUCAAUGCUUAACUUCUCUACUUCAUGGCUUUGUAAAAUAGGGAUUUUUACAGGUUCAAUUCAUAGAAAUGUUGAGAAAGAUUGAGUGAGAUGCAUUUAUGUAAAGCACUUAUGCAGUGCCUGCCACAAUAAAUGCUUGCAAAACAUUAGCUUUCAUUUAAA